rnacentral:rRNA from 1 species
GUAGGUGGCAAGCGUUGUCCGGAAUUAUUGGGCGUAAAGCGCGCGCAGGUGGUUCUUUAAGUCUGAUGUGAAAGCCCCCGGCUCAACCGGGGAGGGUCAUUGGAAACUGGGGAACUUGAGUGCAGGAGAGGAAAGUGGAAUUCCACGUGUAGCGGUGAAAUGCGUAGAUAUGUGGAGGAACACCAGUGGCGAAGGCGACUUUCUGGCCUGUAACUGACACUGAGGCGCGAAAGCGUGGGGAGCAAACAGGGAUUAGAUACCCUGGUAGUCCGCGCCGUAAACGAUGAGUGCUAAGUGUUGGGGGGGUUUCCCGCCCCUCAGUGCUGCAGCUAACGCAUUAAGCACUCCGCCUGGGGAGUACGGUCGCAAGACUG